rnacentral:rRNA from 1 species
AUGGUUGUCAUAGUCACAGUGGUUGUCCACCUGCCGCAUAAGAAACUCAUUCAACCUGAGUUCUUGUGUGGUUGCGGUAGACCUGCAGCUUCUAGGAAGUGUUUAGGUGGAGAACACAAUGGUCGAAUGUUCUACAGGUGCGGGAACGGAUGGGUUGAAAAUAGUGAUGGUUUGAAUGAAAAACUCUGGUGGAAACGGCACCUUGGUUGUGAAGUUUUUGUUUGGGAAGAUGUCAUUCAGAAGUUUGCGGAGACAGUGUUUGAGUACAAUCAACUUGGUGAAGAUGAGUUAGAGUCGGAGAUAAUUGGAACAAUUGGAGCUCGGACUUCCAACUAG